CCUUCCUACAGAGGCGUGUCUGUAGCUCCCUGUCUUUGCACACGUAAGACUUGGAGGAAAAGAAACGUGGACUUGGAGAAGUCUGGGGGCAGCUUGCUCCCUUCAGGCUCAAGAUCAACCUUGAAAGAGAA
ensembl:snoRNA